CCUACGGUGGCAGCAGUGGGGAAUAUUGCACAAUGGGCGCAAGCCUGAUGCAGCCAUGCCGCGUGUGUGAAGAAGGCCUUCGGGUUGUAAAGCACUUUCAGCGGGGGGGAAGGCGUUAAGGUUAAUAACCUUGUCGAUUGACGUUACCCGCAGAAGAAGCACCGGCUAACUCCGUGCCAGCAGCCGCGGUAAUACGGAGGGUGCAAGCGUUAAUCGGAAUUACUGGGCGUAAAGCGCACGCAGGCGGUCUGUCAAGUCGGAUGUGAAAUCCCCGGGCUCAACCUGGGAACUGCAUUCGAAACUGGCAGGCUAGAGUCUUGUAGAGGGGGGUAGAAUUCCAGGUGUAGCGGUGAAAUGCGUAGAGAUCUGGAGGAAUACCGGUGGCGAAGGCGGCCCCCUGGACAAAGACUGACGCUCAGGUGCGAAAGCGUGGGGAGCAAACAGGAUUAGAUACCCGUGUAGUC
rnacentral:rRNA from 1 species